rnacentral:tRNA from 1 species
GCCCGAGUGACGGAAUGGCAGACGUGACGGUCUCAAAAACCGUUGGGGGAAACCUCGUGUGAGUUCGAGUCUCACCUCGGGCACCA